rnacentral:rRNA from 1 species
AGUGAACGCUGGCGGCAGGCCUAACACAUGCAAGUCGAACGGCAGCACAGGGGAGCUUGCUCCCUGGGUGGCGAGUGGCGGACGGGUGAGGAAUACAUCGGAAUCUACCCUUUCGUGGGGGAUAACGUAGGGAAACUUACGCUAAUACCGCAUACGAUCUGAGGAUGAAAGCAGGGGACCGCAAGGCCUUGCGCGAUUGGAUGAGCCGAUGUCCGAUUAGCUAGUUGGCGGGGUAAAGGCCCACCAAGGCGACGAUCGGUAGCUGGUCUGAGAGGAUGAUCAGCAACACUGGAACUGAGACACGGUCCAGACUCCUGCGGGAGGCAGCAGGGGGGAAUAUUGGACAAUGGGCGCAAGCCUGAUCCAGCCAUGCCGCGUGUGUGAAGAAGGCCUUCGGGUUGUAAAGCACUUUUGUUGGGAAAGAAAUCCUGUCGGCUAAUACCCGGCGGGGAUGACGGUACCCAAAGAAUAAGCACCGGCUAACUUCGUGCCAGCAGCCGCAGUAAGAC